UACGUAGGGGGCAAGUGUUGUCCGGAUUUAUUGGGCGUAAAGAGCGUGUAGGCGGUUUGGUAGGUCCGCUGUGAAAACUCGAGGCUCAACCUCGAGACGCCGGUGGAAACCAUCAGACUAGAGUCCGGAAGAGGAGAGUGGAAUUCCUGGUGUAGCGGUGAAAUGCGCAGAUAUCAGGAAGAACACCCGUGGCUAAGGCGGCUCUCUAGUACGGUACUGACGCUGAGACGCGAAAGCGUGGGGAGCGAACAGG
rnacentral:rRNA from 1 species